UACGUAGGGCGCAAGCGUUAUCCGGAAUUAUUGGGCGUAAAGGGCUCGUAGGCGGUCUGUCGCGUCGGGAGUGAAAACUCAGGGCUCAACCCUGAGCGUGCUUCCGAUACGGGCAGACUAGAGGUAUGCAGGGGAGAACGGAAUUCCUGGUGUAGCGGUGGAAUGCGCAGAUAUCAGGAGGAACACCGGUGGCGAAGGCGGUUCUCUGGGCAUGACCUGACGCUGAGGAGCGAAAGCAUGGGGAGCGAACAGG
rnacentral:rRNA from 1 species